rnacentral:rRNA from 1 species
UGCGAAGGCGCCACACUGGAACGGAUUCGACGGUCAGGGACGAAGCCUAGGGGCACGAACCGGAUUAGAUACCCGGGUAGUCCUAGGUGUAAACGCUGUGAACUUGGUGUCGGGGAUCCGUCAUGGGUCCCCGGUGCCGGAGUGAAGAUGUUAAGUUCACUGCCUGGGGAGUACGGUCGCAAGGCUGAAACUUAAAGGAAUUGGCGGGGGAGCACUGCAACGGGAGGAGCGUGCGGUUUAAUUGGAUUCAACGCCGGAAAACUCACCAGGGCCGACUGUUAGAUGAAGACCAGUGUAACGAACUUGUCGGAUUUUCAGAGAGGUGGUGCAUGGCCGUCGUCAGUUCGUACUGUAAAGCGUUCUGUUAAGUCAGAUAACGAACGAGACCCUCAUCUCUAUUUGCUACCUGUCUCUCCGGAGAUAGCGCACUAUAGAGAGACCGCUGGUGUUAAACCAGAGGAAGGCGAGGGCAACGACAGGUCAGUAUGCCCCGAAUGUCCUGGGCUACACGCGCGCUACAAAGGACGGGACAAUGGGAAGCCAGGCCGAGAGGCCGAGCUAACCCGAAACCCGUUCGUAGUUCGGAUUGAGGGCUGUAACUCGCCCUCAUGAAGCUGGAUUCCGUAGUAAUCGUGUUUCAAAAUAGCACGGUGAAUAUGCCCCUGCUCCUUGCACACACCGCCCGUCAAACCAUCUUAGUUGGGGGUGGGUGAGGCUGCGCUUCAUGGCGUAUUCGAGCCUGCCUUCGACAAGGAGGGUUAAGUCGUAACAAGGUAUCUGUAGGGGAACCUGCAGAUG